CCCUGGAGGUUUUUAAGACCCAUCUAGAAAAAGUCUUGGCUGAGAUAAUCUAGUUGGGAAUGGUUCUGCUUUGAGCAGGGGGUUGGACUAGGUGACCUCCUGAGAUUCCACCCCAACCCUAAU